UUGUGAACCUGUUCAGAGUUCACAUAAAAACUGAGUGUGACUAAACAUCACAGCACAGUCACACUUCCUCCGUUAAAGAGGAUCAAACAGUGGCAGAUGUGUGAGGAACGUUUCAUGAUGUUGGUACCGACCUGCAGCAGUCUGAUGAAGACGCCCACAUACAGUUAGUCUGAUGUGAUAAACACGCUAACAAACAAAGAGCAGUUGCUCUGUGAUGAAGAGGAAACCUCAGAGACUGGAAUGAAUCAAAGUUGCACUUACUCAGCUUCUUCACAUGAACUUCUUCACUCUGCAACUCUCUGCUGUUUGGACCAGGUCUGUGUAGAAACAGAGAAAAUCCUCUUCUUCUUCUCCGUCAUCAGUCCUCUGUGUCUGUAGGCACAUUAAACACUUCACACCAUCAAAGAGUCUGAAGGUCUACCUCACAGAUCAAAGAUCAGAUGCAAUGCUCUGAUAUAACACCCACACUGUAGAUAGCAACUUGCUAUUACAUUUCAAAACUGUAUAGCCUGACUGUGGACAUCUGCAGCUCACAGGUCAAAGCUCAGCUGCUAAACCCUGACAUCAGUUUAAAUAAAUCAUUAAUCAUUAUCUUUUUCCUGAAGGCAUGUUUGACUUGUCCUUGGUGUGUUCUGACUGUGUUGACAUGCAGUAUGAUGCUGAUGUAAUGAUAAGGUUGACCAGCAGGGGCACUGUAUUUAAGAAAGCUCAUGGAUGGCAAUGGGAGCACAUAAAAGAAGUCUGGCCUAUGGUGUUGUAUAAUAAAAUAUUUGGAGCAGUAGCUCACAA